rnacentral:rRNA from 2 species
CAUGGCUCAGGACGAACGCUGGCGGCGUGCCUAAUACAUGCAAGUCGAGCGGACAGAUGGGAGCUUGCUCCCUGAUGUUAGCGGCGGACGGGUGAGUAACACGUGGGUAACCUGCCUGUAAGACUGGGAUAACUCCGGGAAACCGGGGCUAAUACCGGAUGCUUGUUUGAACCGCAUGGUUCAAACAUAAAAGGUGGCUUCGGCUACCACUUACAGAUGGACCCGCGGCGCAUUAGCUAGUUGGUGAGGUAAUGGCUCACCAAGGCGACGAUGCGUAGCCGACCUGAGAGGGUGAUCGGCCACACUGGGACUGAGACACGGCCCAGACUCCUACGGGAGGCAGCAGUAGGGAAUCUUCCGCAAUGGACGAAAGUCUGACGGAGCAACGCCGCGUGAGUGAUGAAGGUUUUCGGAUCGUAAAGCUCUGUUGUUAGGGAAGAACAAGUACCGUUCGAAUAGGGCGGUACCUUGACGGUACCUAACCAGAAAGCCACGGCUAACUACGUGCCAGCAGCCGCGGUAAUACGUAGGUGGCAAGCGUUGUCCGGAAUUAUUGGGCGUAAAGGGCUCGCAGGCGGUUUCUUAAGUCUGAUGUGAAAGCCCCCGGCUCAACCGGGGAGGGUCAUUGGAAACUGGGGAACUUGAGUGCAGAAGAGGAGAGUGGAAUUCCACGUGUAGCGGUGAAAUGCGUAGAGAUGUGGAGGAACACCAGUGGCGAAGGCGACUCUCUGGUCUGUAACUGACGCUGAGGAGCGAAAGCGUGGGGAGCGAACAGGAUUAGAUACCCUGGUAGUCCACGCCGUAAACGAUGAGUGCUAAGUGUUAGGGGGUUUCCGCCCCUUAGUGCUGCAGCUAACGCAUUAAGCACUCCGCCUGGGGAGUACGGUCGCAAGACUGAAACUCAAAGGAAUUGACGGGGGCCCGCACAAGCGGUGGAGCAUGUGGUUUAAUUCGAAGCAACGCGAAGAACCUUACCAGGUCUUGACAUCCUCUGACAAUCCUAGAGAUAGGACGUCCCCUUCGGGGGCAGAGUGACAGGUGGUGCAUGGUUGUCGUCAGCUCGUGUCGUGAGAUGUUGGGUUAAGUCCCGCAACGAGCGCAACCCUUGAUCUUAGUUGCCAGCAUUCAGUUGGGCACUCUAAGGUGACUGCCGGUGACAAACCGGAGGAAGGUGGGGAUGACGUCAAAUCAUCAUGCCCCUUAUGACCUGGGCUACACACGUGCUACAAUGGACAGAACAAAGGGCAGCGAAACCGCGAGGUUAAGCCAAUCCCACAAAUCUGUUCUCAGUUCGGAUCGCAGUCUGCAACUCGACUGCGUGAAGCUGGAAUCGCUAGUAAUCGCGGAUCAGCA